GAUGAACGCUGGCGGCGUGCUUAACACAUGCAAGUCGAACGAUGAAGCCCAGCUUGCUGGGUGGAUUAGUGGCGAACGGGUGAGUAACACGUGAGUAACCUGCCCUUGACUCUGGGAUAAGCCCGGUAAACUGGGUCUAAUACCGGAUAGGAGCGCCUGUCGCAUGACGGGUGUUGGAAAGAUUUUUCGGUCAUGGAUGGACUCGCGGCCUAUCAGCUUGUUGGUGAGGUAAUGGCUCACCAAGGCGACGACGGGUAGCCGGCCUGAGAGGGUGACCGGCCACACUGGGACUGAGACACGGCCCAGACUCCUACGGGAGGCAGCAGUGGGGAAUAUUGCACAAUGGGCGGAAGCCUGAUGCAGCGACGCCGCGUGAGGGAUGACGGCCUUCGGGUUGUAAACCUCUUUCAGUAGGGAAGAAGCGAAAGUGACGGUACCUGCAGAAGAAGCACCGGCUAACUACGUG
rnacentral:rRNA from 1 species